UUUAUUUCUGUCAUAAACACUGACCUCAUCAGGACCAGUUGACCAAAACCUGGUCCUAAUGUGAGACGGAACCUUAUUUCUGAGAAACUGGAUCCAGCUCAAGAAUUCGGCCACUUUAGUGUAAACUCCCGGAUGGUUGGCCUCGGCGCAUCCUGUCCCCCAGCUGACGACGCCAACCAACCGCCACACGUUUUCAUCCUGACAGACCAGAGGACCCCCACUGUCGCCCUGAUGAGGCCACAUCCCCUCACUUCCUGUGUGAGCACAGCUGUUGCCUGAUGCUGCUGAACUGACCUGACUUGACUGGCUACUCAUCAUCACAGUGGAGAGUGACGUCACGGCUCUGAGCGAUGAUGAGGAUCUUCAUCUCUUCAUCUAAACAGACUCCAGUCAAUAACAGAGAGGAGGGGGAGGAGCAUGUAACAGGUAGAAACACCAGAGUGUCACUUACAACUUCUGCUAAAAUAAAAUCCAGAUCCUUAUGGUCAGUUGUCACUAAGGGGAAACUUGGACUUCUUAAGGUAACAUUAGUGAUAAGUGUUUAUUCUUAAAGGAAAAGAGGGCUGUGUCUUUUUUUCUGUGU